rnacentral:rRNA from 1 species
AGCGGCGGACGGGUGAGUAAUGCCUAGGAAUCUGCCUGGUAGUGGGGGAUAACGUCCGGAAACGGGCGCUAAUACCGCAUACGUCCUGAGGGAGAAAGUGGGGGAUCUUCGGACCUCACGCUAUCAGAUGAGCCUAGGUCGGAUUAGCUAGUUGGUGGGGUAAAGGCCUACCAAGGCGACGAUCCGUAACUGGUCUGAGAGGAUGAUCAGUCACACUGGAACUGAGACACGGUCCAGACUCCUACGGGAGGCAGCAGUGGGGAAUAUUGGACAAUGGGCGAAAGCCUGAUCCAGCCAUGCCGCGUGUGUGAAGAAGGUCUUCGGAUUGUAAAGCACUUUAAGUUGGGAGGAAGGGCAGUAAGUUAAUACCUUGCUGUUUUGACGUUACCAACAGAAUAAGCACCGGCUAACUUCGUGCCAGCAGCCGCGGUAAUACGAAGGGUGCAAGCGUUAAUCGGAAUUACUGGGCGUAAAGCGCGCGUAGGUGGUUCAGCAAGUUGGAUGUGAAAUCCCCGGGCUCAACCUGGGAACUGCAUCCAAAACUACUGAGCUAGAGUACGGUAGAGGGUGGUGGAAUUUCCUGUGUAGCGGUGAAAUGCGUAGAUAUAGGAAGGAACACCAGUGGCGAAGGCGACCACCUGGACUGAUACUGACACUGAGGUGCGAAAGCGUGGGGAGCAAACAGGAUUAGAUACCCUGGUAGUCCACGCCGUAAACGAUGUCGACUAGCCGUUGGGAUCCUUGAGAUCUUAGUGGCGCAGCUAACGCGAUAAGUCGACCGCCUGGGGAGUACGGCCGCAAGGUUAAAACUCAAAUGAAUUGACGGGGGCCUGCACAAGCGGUGGAGCAUGUGGUUUAAUUCGAAGCAACGCGAAGAACCUUACCUGGCCUUGACAUGCUGAGAACUUUCCAGAGAUGGAUUGGUGCCUUCGGGAACUCAGACACAGGUGCUGCAUGGCUGUCGUCAGCUUGUGUCGUGAGAUGUUGGGUUAAGUCCCGUAACGAGCGCAACCCUUGUCCUUAGUUACCAGCACCUCGGGUGGGCACUCUAAGGAGACUGCCGGUGACAAACCGGAGGAAGGUGGGGAUGACGCCAAGUCAUCAUGGCCCUUACGGCCAGGGCUACACACGUGCUACAAUGGUCGGUACAAAGGGUUGCCAAGCCGCGAGGUGGAGCUAAUCCCAUAAAACCGAUCGUAGUCCGGAUCGCAGUCUGCAACUCGACUGCGUGAAGUCGGAAUCGCUAGUAAUCGUGAAUCAGAAUGUCACGGUGAAUACGUUCCCGGGCCUUGUACACACCGCCCGUCACACCAUGGGAGUGGGUUGCUCCAGAAGUAGCUAGUCUAACCGCAAGGGGGACGGUUACCACGGAGUGAUUCAUGACUGGGGUGAAGUCGUAACAAGGU